UUUAAUAUGGCAGAAAAUAUGCAUUGGUAUUAAGAACCAUUAAUGAAUUAAUUAAAAAUUUCUAUUAAAA
rnacentral:tRNA from 1 species